GUCUCAAUAGCUCAGUGGUUAGAGCGCUGGCGCGGUACGCCAGAGGCCCUGGGUUCGAGUCCCGGUUGAGACC
rnacentral:tRNA from 1 species